UAGAGUUUGAUCAUGGCUCAGAUUGAACGCUGGCGGCAUGCUUUACACAUGCAAGUCGAACGGGGUGGAGGGGCAACUCUUCACUCAGUGGCGAACGGGUGAGUAAUGCAUCGGAACGUGUCCCGUAGUGGGGGAUAACGCCGCGAAAGCGGCGCUAAUACCGCAUACGCUCUAUGGAGGAAAGCAGGGGACCCGCAAGGGCCUUGUGCUAGGGGAGCGGCCGAUGUCCGAUUAGCUUGUUGGUGGGGUAACGGCCUACCAAGGCUGCGAUCGGUAGCUGGUCUGAGAGGAUGAUCAGCCACACUGGGACUGAGACACGGCCCAGACUCCUACGGGAGGCAGCAGUGGGGAAUUUUGGACAAUGGGGGCAACCCUGAUCCAGCCAUGCCGCGUGCGGGAAGAAGGCCUUCGGGUUGUAAACCGCUUUUAGCCGGGAAGAAAAGCCCAUGGAUAACACCCGUGGGUAUUGACGGUACCGGCGGAAUAAGCACCGGCUAACUACGUGCCAGCAGCCGCGGUAAUACGUAGGGUGCGAGCGUUAAUCGGAAUUACUGGGCGUAAAGCGUGCGCAGGCGGUUCGUCGUGUCCGAUGUGAAAGCCCCGGGCUCAACCUGGGAAUGGCAUGGGAAACUGGCGAACUGGAGUGUGGCAGAGGGGGGUGGAAUUCCGCGUGUAGCAGUGAAAUGCGUAGAGAUGCGGAGGAACACCGAUGGCGAAGGAAU
rnacentral:rRNA from 1 species